CCAAAAUUAUACUAUUUAUAAAUACUGAAAAAAGGGACAAAACCUAAUACAGUACUUCUGCAACAGUUUAAAGUAAACAGAAACUCUUAGCAAGUCAAAACACAUCAAAGAGACAAAUUCUCUUCCCUUUCCCUGUACGCAAUUCGCGCCCUUUUGCAUUCCUUUCCUCUUAGUGCUCUCUCUGUCUCUGUCUAUGCAGCCCUCUAAAGAUUGAGUCUUUCUGUGUUCAAUGAAAUGGAUUAUAUACCUAUAGCUAGAAGGACUCGGAGUAGAGAAGCCCUCAUGUAUAGGAAAUUACAUGAAGAGCUGAAGAGAAAGAACCAUGACAAGAAACUUAAUGCCUCUGAGUCCACGAGUUUUAGUGGGUUCAGUGAUGUUAAAGGGGAGAGCUUUAGUGGGUCGUGUCAAAAGGAUAAUGUGAGUGAAAGUUUGGAGCCUGAUGAUAAUUAUGGCGUACUUAAGAGGAAGAAGUCUGGUGGGUUGCGUCAUAAGGAUAAUGGGAGUGAGAAUUUAGGGCGUGGCGAUUAUGGUGUAUCGAAGGGGAGGAGCUCCAGUGGGUCAUGUCAGAAGGAUAAUGGGAGUGAAAAUUUAGGGCUUGGUGAUUAUGGUGUAGCUAAGGGGAAGAGUUCUAGUGGGUCAUGUCAAAGGGAUGAUGAAAGUGAUAAUUUGGGGCAUGGCGAUGAUGUCUUAGAGAAGAGUGAUUUGGGUCCAUAUGAUAGUGUAGAUAAGUUUGAUAUGGGCGCAUCUAAUUAUGAAAUUUUGGGUUUUGAGUGUGUGGAUAAUGAUGAUUCUGAGGAGAGAGGUUGGAGGGAAAGUGGGCGAGUGGAGGUGGAAGAAAGUUCUAGUAGGUCCAAAUCUAAUGGUGAGAAUGGUACAGAUGUAGUAACCAUUUCAGAUAGUGAUUCAACUUCUUCUAGUGGAGAGAGUGUAGGGGAUAGUGAUGAUGAGGUUGAAAUUGAGACUUCUUCAAGUGGAGAUGAUGAUGAUUGUGUAGAGGAAACGCCUGAUGAUUCUUCUGAUUUUGAGGUAGUUAGUAGUGAGAGCGAAGAGGAGGACCAAAGUAAUCAGGAGGAAGAACACCAGGUUUCAGCAAGAGAAACUGGUAGCAGGGGAAAAGGGGAUAAGGUUGAGCUAAGAUUGAAAAGGAAGAAGUGGUCUGGUAGUAGUAAUGGCAAGGAUGAUGCUGUUGAUGGUGGCCAAAAGCGUGAUUAUGUUUCAAAACGCAUAAGAUCACAAAAUAAUUUAGAAUCCAGCAAGAAGAGAAGUGGGCUUGGAACCAUUAACCAUCCUAUUUGUCUAGAUAAGGGGGAUCUUGAAGACUUUGAUCAUGGUGGUGAUUAUUGUAAUGGUGUUGUUGAUGGUGAAACUUUUGAGAUUGAGGAAAUAGAUGAUGAGGAGCAUGUGCAGGAUUUUUGUGGUGGACAGCCCACUAGAAAAAGAAUCCGAGCCUAUGAAGAUCAUGAAGUUGUGAAGAUUCUUGCAAAUUCCAUAUUGGACAAGACAGAAAUGCCUUGUGAAGAAAUUGAUGAGCCUGUUAUUGAGCCAAGUCUUCCACUGAAAUUCACAUUUGGAACUGAAGAACAAGUUCUAGUGGAGAAAUCAGAAGAGGAGAAAGAAUUGGAGAAACUAUGGGCUGAAAUGAGCCUUGCUCUUUGUGCAGAUGAUGCUACGGAUGAUGCAGUGCAGGCUGAAAAUACGGCUGAUGUAACUCUUGAGGAUGAACUUGAUACAGAUGCCUUAUGCCAACAAGGGAAACAUCAAUAUAUUCUUGAUGAAGAGAUUGGAAUCAAAUGCAAAUUUUGCUCUUUUGUAAAUGUGGAGAUCAAAUAUUGUACAGCACCUUUUGGUAGGCAUACUUCAGGAUAUUCAGAAAGGAGAGACUACUAUGCAGUGCACCUUAAUGUCUUUGAUGAGCUUCAUGAUCAAGACUGUGGUCGUGACUCACAGCCUGGCUGUGAUCCCUUCCCUGCUCAUGCACGAGGCACAGUGUGGAACAUCAUUCCUGGUAUUGGAAAGGACCUGCACGAACAUCAACGUGAAGGUUUUGAAUUUCUGUGGAAAAACAUAGCUGGAGGGAUUUACCUUGACAAGUUGAAAGAGCCAACCAGUUUUGAUAGUGGGAGUGGUGGAUGUAUCAUAUCACAUGCUCCUGGGACAGGAAAAACUCGCCUGGCAAUAGUAUUUCUUCAGACACACAUGAAAUUGUACCCAACAUGUAGACCGGUGAUUAUUGCCCCUUCGAGCAUGCUGCUUUCCUGGGAAGCAGAAUUCAAGAAAUGGAAAGUUGAUAUUCCUUUUCACAAUCUGAACACACCAAAGGUCUCUGGAGAGGAAAAUGUGGCUGCUUUGAAGCUGUUUAAAUACAGACAGCAUAGUAUAAACUCUGUUCGGAUGUUGAAGUUAUAUUCCUGGAAAAAUGAUAGGAGUAUCCUUGGCAUCAGUUAUAAACUUUUUGAAGAGCUUGUUGGACAAGACAAGAAGAGGAGCACAAUGCAACAGACAAAUGUAGAUGGCAUGGUGCGGAAGAUUCUUCUUGAGCUUCCUGGUCUUUUGGUCCUUGAUGAAGGACACACACCUCGCAAUGACCAGAGUCUUAUAUGGAAGGCUCUGUCAAAAGUCCGAACAGAAAAGCGCAUUAUUCUCUCAGGAACCCCUUUUCAGAAUAAUUUUGAUGAGCUUUAUAAUACACUAUGCUUGGCGAGACCUAAAUUUGCAGACAGGAUGUCAAGCAAAUUCAAUGUUUUUUUCGAAAGAAAGCAUGGUCGCAAGGUAAAUGGGGCAAGAAGAAAUUGGACUUCUCUCACAAGUCCACUUGGCAGAGUUACCGAUGAUAGACUGAAAGCUGAAAGAUUGGAAGAGGUUAGAGCCAUGAUAAGGCCUUUUGUGCAUGUACACAAGGGUAAUAUUCUACAACAAAGACUUCCAGGCUUGAGAGAUGCUAUGAUCAUUUUGCGGCCACCUCAUUUGCAGAAGAGCCUACUUGAUAAAAUUGAACAAAAAGAGAACCUACGGACUAGUUUCGAUUUGGAAUAUUUGGUGUCUUUGGUUUCUGUGCAUCCUUCUCUUUUGCUGAAGCAUUCAUUCGAUUUGGAAGAGUUUGGUGGGCGGGGCAUGUUAGAAAAGCUUAGGUUGAAUCCAGAUGUAGGGGUCAAAACAAAAUUUCUUAUCGAACUUAUUCGGCUUAGUGGAGCCAUAAGUGAGAAAGUGUUGGUAUUUAGUCAGUAUCUUCACCCAUUGACAUUUAUAUGCAAGCUUCUUGAAUCUCGAUUCAACUGGAUUGAAGGGAAAGAGAUCUUACGCAUGACUGGAAAGGUUGAUACGGUUCAGCGCCAAUCUCUUAUUAUGGAUUUCAACAGCAGAAACAGUCAAGCAAAAGUGAUGCUUGCAUCAACAAAGGCUUGUUCUGAAGGGAUAAAUCUUGUUGGUGCUUCGAGAGUUGUGUUGCUUGAUGUGGUUUGGAAUCCUGCAGUAGAAAGGCAAGCAAUAAGCCGUGCAUAUAGGCUUGGGCAGGAGAAAGUUGUGCACAUUUAUCGUCUCGUUAUUUCAGGAACAAUGGAAGAAGAGAAAUACUGUCGGCAAGCUGAGAAGGAGCGGUUAUCAGAAUUGGUGUUUUAUUCUUCAGAAAGAGCUCAUAAUCGAGAGAAAAUUUCAUACGAUGUGUCAGAAGAUGCAAAGGAUGCAAUUUUGGAAGAGAUGAUUAACAGAAACAAACUCAAAGACAUGUUUAAGAGGAUAAUAUACCAACCUAAAGAUUCUAAUUUGGUUGAUUCUUUUGGCUUGGUCAAUCUGUAGCAAACAUUCUGGUGAAAAUUUUGCCACAAUAUUUUGAUCUCUUAGAAGCUGAAACUGUUUUCCUUUCUGGUUAAAAAAAAAAAAAAUGUAUAGUGGCUUCUGAAGUUUUGGCCAAUAUUCAUGUAUAUGCAGAUUAGAAAAGUAUGAAUAUACUGCAACAUGGUAAGUUCCCUUACUCUGAUUUUAGUGAAUUGUUGAGUUCUUGGCCUGGGCAACAGUGAACUUGUCAAAUAACUUAAAUGUUGAUAUCUGUUUACUGAAUAUUGUUGCUUUUGUGCUCUAUGUCUAUUUGACUGUGUAAAACAUAGUUUAAGCCUUCCCCAGUGUUCAUGUAUGGUAUGAUUGUUU
rnacentral:misc_RNA from 1 species